UACGUAGGGUGCAAGCGUUGUCCGGAAUUAUUGGGCGUAAAGAGCUCGUAGGCGGUUUGUCGCGUCGAAUGUGAAAACCCGGGGCUCAACUCCGGGCCUGCAGUCGAUACGGGCUGGCUUGAGUGCGGUAGGGGAGACUGGAAUUCCUGGUGUAGCGGUGAAAUGCGCAGAUAUCAGGAGGAACACCGGUGGCGAAGGCGGGUCUCUGGGCCGAUACUGACGCUGAGGAGCGAAAGCGUGGGGAGCGAACAGG
rnacentral:rRNA from 1 species